UACGUAGGUGGCGAGCGUUGUCCGGAUUUACUGGGCGUAAAGAGCGCGCAGGCGGCUGGUCAAGUCCGAUGUGAAAGCUCCCGGCUUAACUGGGAAAUUGCAUCGGAAACUGAUCGGCUGGAAGGUGGGAGAGGGUAGCGGAAUUCUGGUGUAGCGGUGAAAUGACGCAGAUAUCAGGAGGAACACCGGUGGCGAAGGCGGUUCUCUGGGCAUUACCUGACGCUGAGGAGCGAAAGUGUGGGGAGCGAACGGG
rnacentral:rRNA from 1 species